CUUGUUCUCAAAGUGCACAGGUUUACCUUUCAGUUCCGCCUGACUUUCCUUCUUCAUGCUGCAUUUGUGCUUUUAACUUUGUGUGGCUUUUGUCUUCCAGGUGGAACCAGUCCAACUUACGUGUGCUUAAUGUAUUAGGCAGAGAAAGAAAGAGAGAGAGCGGGAGCGAGAGAGCACAAGUGGUCCUUUCGGCAGUCAAAACUUUGGCUUUAAAACUCUCAUUCACGUUUCCCAACAGCAGUAUAUUUUUGCCUUCUCAUUCAAAGAGUUUUGGCUAAACCUUAAUUGUGUUCUGUCUUUCAGUGAUUCACAUACCCUCCUUCUUUAGGUUGAUGUAGUCAUAGUCUUCACUACUAUUCAGUACGUUAGUUUUAUCAAUAUUGCAAUAGUGUUCAGAUCUUUUACACAUGUUAGAUGUGUGGUGUUUUGGGGAAAUGUGAGCUACAAAGCAUCUUUGGGGUUGUUUUGAGGAACUACCCAUCAUUUAUAGCCUUACUCUAAUUACAAAAUGCAGUUCAGGUUCUAGAUUGCCACCAUUCUAGAGUGUGGCACACACCAUUCUAGGGCGUGAUUCAUUUGGAUGUUGGAAACUCAAUGUCUGUUGUUUGUAUAGUGUUGAUGUGUAAAAUGCUUUAAAAAUAUGUUCUGUUAGUUAGAAAUCUUACAAUGUUGUUCAUACUAUUAAUCAACAUUUUUGGUUAUUCAGUAAAACUUUACUAUCCUCAGGCCCUCCGUGUUCUUAUUUAAAGCCGCUGUAUUAUGGCCUGCUUUUCUAUGCUACAGAUUUUCAGAACUACUCAAUUCUGGUCUAUAUAUGUGGUAGUGCAAUCAGGGAGGUAUUUUUGGGGGUAUAUGGGGUACACAUCUCUUUAAAUUCAGGUAGCUAUUUACAGUGAAAAGCCAGUUGUGGCAGUUGUGCUCAGAGUAGGUGUUGAUUUUUUAUUACUGUAUACAUGGAUAAUUCUGGAUCCAGUAUGUGAUGUGUUGCAGAAAAAUAAAUAAAAUGUGUUCAUCAUCUUAGCAAUUAAGUGGCAGACUUAAGUUCUUAAUACUUAAAUAUAUGCUUUCUUUUUUCAUUUGUCUUUCUGAGAACGUAUUUAUCAAAGUCAAAACUUUCCAGGACAGAAGCUGAAUCUGAAGCAUUAGCUAUGCAGACAUUACUUUGUACAUCUCUUUUUGAAAAUGAAACUUAUAAGUUAAAAGAUUAAACAACAUCUUGAAUACGUUAUGAAAAUAUACUUGGUGUAAGUUAGGAUGGCUAAGUGUUUUUUAAAGUUGACUGAACAAACCAUUUUUCAUUUAUACAAAUAUACAUGUACUUAUAACUACUUACAUAUAUAAUAUAUUUGUAUAUCUGUUUGUAUAUGUUACUUCCCAUGUGAGAAGAAAGCAUAGAUAUAUAUCAUUUUAUAUGUGCAGCUAUUUCUUAUAUAUUGAACUACACAUAUUAAGACUUACCACUUGGUCUUUAUUUGUGUUUUGUUUUAUGCCAAUUUAAAAUAAUUUUAAUACAAGCACAUGAUCAAAAAACCAUACAGUAUAAAAAGUAUACAGUUAAAAGUAAAUCUCAAACCCCGGGGUCUCUAGUUUCCAGCCCAUAGAUUAGCACUAGUAUAUUUUUUGCAUAUACAUAUUUAGAUUUAGUCUAUAUAUAUACAAGAACACAUGUAUGUGUGUAUGGAAUUUUUAUACAAAUAAUAACAUACUGUAUGUAUCUGUGCCUUUUUAAUCACAAAAUCUUAGUGAUUUUUUCUUAUACUUAUCUACUUAAUUUUAUUGCAUGCUGUUCUAUUGUGUGAUUGGAAUACACUUGACUUAUUCAUUACACCUUUGAUGAUCAUUUAUGUUGGUUCUGGUUUUCUGUUACUGUAAACUAUUCUGCAGUGAUUACUUAAGUGUAUACAUCUUUGUGUACAAGCAUAAAUAUAUCUGCAGGAUAAUUCCGAGA
rnacentral:lncRNA from 1 species